GACAGAGGUGCCGAGCGUUAGGCGGAAUCACUGGGCUUAAAGCGUGUGUAGGCGGAUUUGUAAGUACCUUGUGAAAUCCCACGGCUCAACCGUGGAACUGCUUGGUAUACUGCUUAUCUUGAGCCACUUAGGGGCAGUCGGAACAGACGGUGGAGCGGUGAAAUGCGUAGAUAUCAUUUGGAACGCCAAUGGUGAAAACAGGGUAGCUGGGGCUGUGCUGACGCUGAGACACGAAAGCCAGGGGAGCAAACGGG
rnacentral:rRNA from 1 species